AUGAUUAAAUUUGACUUAGCAAAAGCUUUUGAUAGAAUUGAAUGGAACUUUAUAAUGAGAGCUCUUAAUCGUAACGGCUUACAUGGUCAUUUCAUAAACUUGGUUCAUGCUUGCAUUGCUGCUCCUAUAUUUUCGGUUGUCAUAAAUGGUCAAUCUUAUGGGUGUUUUCAAAGCAACCGAGGUAUAAGGCAAGGUUGUCCUUUAUAUCCUUACUUAUUUGUCCUGGCUAUCAAUGAACUGUCUAUAUCCCUGCAAGAGGCUAUGUGCUCCAACUAUUUAACAGGGAUCUCUCUAGGGCCAGGAUGUCCUCCGAUCCAUUCUCUUAUGUUUGCUGACGAUUUGUUAAUAUGUGGACAAGCUACCAUUGUUGAGGCUACUCACAUGUAUAAUAUUCUUCAAAGCUUUUGC
rnacentral:rRNA from 1 species